GAGAACCGCGAUAGGCAGGAGGGUUAGCCAGCUGCACUCUUCGUCUCGCUAGUGAGGGGUCCUAGGUGUAUGAAGUCUCGUUUUCGCGAGCCGUGUAGUUCACCCGCUGGUACCGCCGGGGCCACCGAGAGUGGUAUAAGGACGACUAGGAGGAGGGUCGCGUGGUACGAGAGCGGUGCCGCCGGCCGCUGCACGUGGGUCCGAUGCGCCUGCGCCUCUGGCUGUGGACGCCCGGCCGCGACCUGGACCCGCCGAGGAGGAGGAGGAGGAGGAGACGGCGUCCGCGCCGGCCAGCCGCAAUGCCGGGCCCCGACCUCCUCAUGCCGCCGCCCGCGUAGCACCUGUAGUGCGUGCGCAAGGCCGGACCGUACGGCCGCAUGCGCGGCCCGCGCUGCCACCCCGGGUAGCACGCCGAGUUCCUCAGCUACCUCUUGCCCAGUCUGAUGUUGAACAGCCUCGAGUCGUACCUCACGGUGUAUCCUUGGGUGCACCUGCGCGGCCCCGUGAAAUUGGUCCGGGUGAAGCGGCGGCCGGAGCUGCAGCUGUGCGAGCUGGAGCUUCAGGAGUUGCGACUUCGUUACCUUAGGGAUUUAUAUGGGUUUCCACAAGCAGCUCAAGAGAAGUCCUGUAACUUGUGUCUGUACCCUGAGUACACCUUCCUUCCUCCACUAUACUCAAUGCAACCUAAAUGCCGCCUACCACGGGUCACCGAACAACUGUUGUGGCUGUAGUUCGAUCAACCAGACCUGAUAAAUAGACAACGUAGCAAACUAGUGCGUGCGAGACGGGUACACCGGAAGAAUUUUUUACGCCUAUAGUAUAAUCAACUUGUAGACUUCGAUCUUAUGCAGCUCUGGCCUAAUAUGUGCAACGUGACGAAUGGAGAUUCUAACCAACCUAGACUGCCAAGUGGUUAGUCCACGUAAGAAUAGUUCACUAGUGUAGAAGAGCUUCCGGUGUUAGAUAGCACAGACAACUACGAUGUAUAUGUGAGGUGGAUACAUUAAACUUACAACGUAUAGUACAUUUAUACAAAACAUGAUAGUUAUUUCAUAAGGUUUGCUGUUGUUUUCAUAUCGUAAUGAUGUUUGUUCAGUGUCCACGUUGUGGUUGUAACGUACAUGUUAUUAAGAUAAAUAAAGAUAUCAACGUACAGAUUUGAAUGUAAUGAGAAUACGG
rnacentral:rRNA from 1 species